rnacentral:rRNA from 1 species
AACAUCGCCUCUUGCAAAAUUAAUGAAUAAGAGGUCCUGCCUGCCCAGUGACCAUGUAGUUCAACGGCCGCGGUAUUUUGACCGUGCAAAGGUAGCACAAUCACUUGUCUUUUAAAUGAAGACCUGUAUGAACGGCGCCACGAGGGCUUAGCUGUCUCCCCUUUCAAGUCAAUGAAAUUGAUCUUCCCGUGCAGAAGCGGGAAUUUUUCCAUAAGACGAGAAGACCCUAUGAAGCUUCAGACACCAAGGCAGGCCACGUCAAAGCCCCCUUACAAAGGACCAAACUGAGUGUGCCCUGAUCCCGAUGUCUUUGGUUGGGGCGACCACGGAGAAAAACAAAACCCCCGCGUGGAAUGGAAGCACCUCUUUUUCCUUGCUCCCACAAAUGAGAGCCACCCCUCUAAUGAACAGAACUUCUGACCAACAUAUGAUCCGGCAACGCCGAUCAACGAACCGAGUUACUCUAGGGAUAACAGCGCAAUCCUCUUUUAGAGCCCAUAUCGACAAGAGGGUUUACGACCUCGAUGUUGGAUCAGGACAUCCUAAUGGUGCAGCCGCUAUUAAGGGUUCGUUUGUUCAACGAUUAAAGUCCUACGUGAUCUG